AUUGAACGCUAGCGGGAUGCCUUACACAUGCAAGUCGAACGGAGUGGCGAACGGGUGAGUAAUGUAUCGGAACGUGCCCAGUAGCGGGGGAUAACUACGCGAAAGCGUAGCUAAUACCGCAUACUAUUGGAGCGGCCGAUAUCGGAUUAGCUAGUUGGUGGGGUAACGGCUCACCAAGGCGACGAUCCGUAGCCGGUUUGAUAGGACGACCAGCCACACUGGGACGGAUACAGUGCCCAGAAUCCUACGGAAGGCAAACGUGGGGAAUUUUGGACAGUGGGGGAAGCCCUGAUCCAGCCAGCCCGCGUGUGAGAUGAAGGCCUUCAGGUUGUAAAGCACUUUUGGCAGGAAAGCGGUACCUGCAGAAUAAGCACCGGCUAACUACGUGCCAGCAGCCGCGGUAAUUC
rnacentral:rRNA from 1 species